rnacentral:rRNA from 1 species
UACGGAGGGGGCAAGCGUUGUUCGGAAUUACUGGGCGUAAAGCGCGUGUAGGCGGCAGGGCAAGUCUGGUGUGAAAGCCCGGGGCUCAACCCCGGAAGUGCAUUGGAAACUGCUCUGCUUGAGUACCGGAGAGGAAGGGGGAAUUCCCGGUGUAGCGGUGAAAUGCGUAGAUAUCGGGAGGAAGGCCGGUGGCGAAGGCGGCCUCCUGGGCCUGCACUGACGCUGAGGCGCGAAAGCGUGGGGAGCAAACAGG